GACGGAGGGGGCUAGCGUUGUUCGGAAUUACUGGGCGUAAAGGGCGCGUAGGCGGAUUAGUAAGUUGGGAGUGAAAGCCCGGGGCUCAACCUCGGAACUGCUCUCAAAACUGCUAGUCUUGAGUGAAGUAGGGGAUGAUGGAAUUCCUAGUGUAGAGGUGAAAUUCUUAGAUAUUAGGAGAACACCGGUGGCGAAAAGCGGUCAUCUGGACUUCAACUGACGCUGAGGCGCGAAAGCGUGGGGAGCAAACAGGAUUAGAUACCCCCGUAGUCC
rnacentral:rRNA from 1 species